rnacentral:rRNA from 1 species
UACAGAGGGGGCAAGCGUUAUUCGGAAUUAUUGGGCGUAAAGGGCGCGUAGGCGGCCACGCACGUCCGUUGUGAAAUCGCCCGGCUCAACUGGGCGGGGUCAGCGGAUACGGUGUGGCUCGAGCAAGCUAGGGGGCAAUGGAAUUCCCGGUGUAGUGGUGGGAAUGCGUAGAUAUCGGGAGGAACACCAGUGGCGAAGGCGGUUGCCUGGAGCUUUGCUGACGCUGAGGCGCGAAAGCGUGGGGGAGCGAUCCGG